AUUGGAACUGAGGAGGUAAAACGAAGUGCCUAUGGCCAACUUGUAUUAGGCGAAGGGGUGGCGUCUGACCUAGGUGAGCAACUGGCUAAAGAAGCAAGAAAAGCAGUUUCCGCUGAGGAGCAAAGAAUUGCUAAGGAGGUUGCUUCCAUACUAAAGUUGACUGUCGACAUUGAUACUACUUCAAGUGAAGGAUUGCAGAAUGUUGUGGCUGCACUGAGGGCUGGGGCAGAAUAUGCUGAUGUACCUGUGCACAAUUGUGUGCUUGUUUCUGGAAGUCUAUCUGG
rnacentral:misc_RNA from 1 species